rnacentral:ribozyme from 15 species
GAACUCUUUUCGAUGAGGGAGGUCCAGUGCUGACACCACCUGAGACGAGCUUGCUGUCCAUGCUCAGCUACUUGGAAGGCGCAGACAUGCUCCGCACGUUCGUACGGCCUGGAUAUGGACAAACUUUUUCUUUUAUGCC